rnacentral:rRNA from 1 species
UACAGAGGGGGCAAGCGUUGUUCGGAAUUACUGGGCGUAAAGGGCGCGUAGGCGGCCUGCUAAGUCGAUCGUGAAAUCCCCGGGCUUAACCCGGGAACUGCGACCGAUACUGGUUGGCUUGAAUUCGGGAGAGGGAUGCGGAAUUCCAGGUGUAGCGGUGAAAUGCGUAGAUAUCUGGAGGAACACCGGUGGCGAAGGCGGCAUCCUGGACCGGUAUUGACGCUGAGGCGCGAAAGCCAGGGGAGCAAACGGG